rnacentral:lncRNA from 1 species
GUGCAAUGCACGGUUAACUUGGGGUGUUGAGUUUCAUAAUUUAUUGGAAGAACAACUGAAAAUCGUUUUGUUUGCAAGUGUGACAUGUGUGGAGAAGAACCUCCUAACUAGCCUUUUAUCCAUCCUUUUCAUCCAAAAACGUUUUACAAUCUGUUUUGUUUAAAGUUUCUGUUUUGUUUUCAAUUUCGUCCAAAACAAAUCCCCCUUUAUUUUGAAGUCUUAGAUUAAUUAGAAUAUGUUUUGAUUUGUGUUUCUAAGUGUUUUGAUUCAAGUUUUCACCCAAAUUCGUCCAAGUUCUUGUUAGGUUCUCAAAACUGCCCAGAAAGUGGUUUUUAGGCAGUUUUGAGUCAUUAGGUUGCUGUUUUGAGUUUUAGGUUUGUUUAAGUGUUUUUACCUUUAGUUUUGCAUUCUUUGAGUCUAGUUUAGUGUUUUAACUUUGUUUUUGAGUUUUUAAGUUAGUUUCCAAGUGUUUAGCAAUCCCUCCUAAUCCCCGGUCCAGAACGAUCCCUACUUACAUACUUUACUACAAUUGUCAAAAGAGGGUUUAAUUUGUGUGCUUAUAGGACACACCACAUGUAGGGACAAUUUGCAUUGUGGUCCUUUCGGCAUAUUGUGACAAUUGAGAAGUAAGUUCCGCCAAUUGAGCUUGAAUGGUAGCAAAAUCCAUGUCUUACUUCUCAAGUACCUGAAAUCAAGGAAACAAAACUAAAUCAAAUA